GAUGAAGAACGUAGCGAAAUGCGAUAAGUAAUGUGAAUUGCAGAAUUCAGUGAAUCAUCGAAUCUUUGAACGCAUCUUGCGCUCCUCGGUAUUCUGAGGAGCAUGCCUGUUUGAGUGUCAUUAAAUUCUCAACUACACUGACUUUGAAUUGGUGUGGCUUGGAUUUGGGGGGAAAAUUGUUGUGGGCUUUUUGUAUAGUCUGCUCCCCUGAAAUUGAUUAGCGGUACCUUUGUGGAACUGUCUACAGGUGUGAUAAUUAUCUACAUCUUAGACAUCUGCUGGAAUGCUGCUUUCUAAACCUUACUUGUAUUGACAAUCUUGACCUCAAAUCAGGUAGGACUACCCGCUGAACUUAAGCAUAUCAAUAAGCGGAGGA
rnacentral:misc_RNA from 1 species